rnacentral:rRNA from 1 species
UACGAGGGGGGCUAGCGUUAUCCGUCUUGAAUGGGCCUAGAGUGUCUGUAGGCUGCUCGCAAAGGUAAAUUGAACGUUUGACAACUAGCGAGCUAGAGUGGAAUUGGGGGAUCAGGGAACUCCAGGAGUAGGGAUAGAAUCCGGUAAUCCCUGGAUGACCGCUACGGCGAAGGCCCUAUCCUAAGUAACCACUGACGCUGUGAGACGAAAGUGUGGGGAGCGAAGAGG